rnacentral:rRNA from 1 species
UAUGGGAUCGAUUUAGCCAUGCUAGUUGUGCGGGUUUAGACCCGCAGCGGAAAGCUCAGUAACACGUGGCCAAGCUACCCUGUGGACGGGAAUACUCUCGGGAAACUGAGGCUAAUCCCCGAUAACGCUUUGCUCCUGGAAGGGGCAAAGCCGGAAACGCUCCGGCGCCACAGGAUGCGGCUGCGGUCGAUUAGGUAGACGGUGGGGUAACGGCCCACCGUGCCCAUAAUCGGUACGGGUUGUGAGAGCAAGAGCCCGGAGACGGAAUCUGAGACAAGAUUCCGGGCCCUACGGGGCGCAGCAGGCGCGAAACCUUUACACUGUACGAAAGUGCGAUAAGGGGACUCCGAGUGUGAAGGCAUAGAGCCUUCACUUUUGUACACCGUAAGGUGGUGCACGAAUAAGGACUGGGCAAGACCGGUGCCAGCCGCCGCGGUAAUACCGGCAGUCCGAGUGAUGGCCGAUCUUAUUGGGCCUAAAGCGUCCGUAGCUGGCUGAACAAGUCCGUUGGGAAAUCUGUCCGCUUAACGGGCAGGCGUCCAGCGGAAACUGUUCAGCUUGGGACCGGAAGACCUGAGGGGUACGUCUGGGGUAGGAGUGAAAUCCUGUAAUCCUGGACGGACCGCCGGUGGCGAAAGCGCCUCAGGAGAACGGAUCCGACAGUGAGGGACGAAAGCUAGGGUCUCGAACCGGAUUAGAUACC